UUAAUUAAUCAGUAAAACGUGUUGUUGAGUUAAUGUUAUUUAUGUUAAAUGUAUUAUUUAUAAAGCUGACGGACAGCCUACACAACAGGCAGCUAAUGACUCCUGGCAGGAGACAUCACAGAGACUACGUCAGAGGUCUUUGAUAGUACCUGUGCAGGGGUCUUUGGGGAGCUCUGUGCAGCAAAGCAUGGCCAGGUUUGGAUGUUGUCAGUCAAACGAUAUAUUAAAAUGUAAAUAUGUAAUUAGGAUGUAGUUGAAUAUUUUUUUCUUUUGAAAUUAACACAGACCUUGAUCUUUAAAUGAUUGUCCUACAUCACUAUUCUUUCUCAGUUAGAGGUGUCCUCCAUUGUGAAUUUAAAUUAUAUAUUUUUAGAUCUACAAAUGAUACAUCUUAAUUUUUUUUUUCACAUUUUCUUUCAGGAGUUUCCCUGGACUGUUUAAAGAAUGAACUAAUCCGAGACCCCCUUUGCAUUGGACUAAAAAAAGGUCCAGUAGCAAGGUUACACCUGUUCAGUUCUUCCUUUUGCAGAAAGCCUCAGACAAAACUCCCAAACACACUGAAGAGCUCAUGCUUCUACAGGCUGGGUUGGGAAGAAAUACAGUGAGUAUUUCUGAGGAUGCUAGCCAUAAAGAGGUCACAGAAAUUCUCUGUGAGGUGUUUCCAAAAGUGAAUCAACUGGAGGGGGCYUGGAUGCUCUACAAAGCUAUGGAUGCAGACCAUGAAGAGAAACUUGUUGSAAGUGGAGAAGAAAUGGCUGGCACAGCAGAAACCACUGGCAAGGGAAGCCAACGUCUUUCACUCCAGAAGUUCUUUCAGUGGGUCACAGGUCAUGCUCARGWACCACUGAUAGAGUCUCAGUGAAGCAUGUUCAAAAUCACRGUCAAUUUUGAGCAUAACUGCAYCUGCCUCUAUGGGGAACAUGUUGUGUGUUACCCAGUUGUCAAUGCCUGUGGGGUUAGUGUCACAUUUCCCAUCCUCCACACAGAAACAUACAGUGACUUUGAGAAGAACCUAAGCACUGCACUGGAGUUUGGUUAUGAAUUUAGCAGAUACUAAAUUACAACUCAAAACACAAGUUGAGUGAUGUAUUGUUCUGCAGCUAAAGCUGGCUGUUUUGUUUCAAAAUGGUGGAAAAUACUUUUAACUAUUUCUAAAAAUAAACAGUUUUCAAGGA